AACUAUCUUGGUGUUCAAUUGGGCAGAAUCACAAUCUCCUUGAGGGUUUCAAGAACCCUAACACUUAUUUCUAUUCUCAAUUUGAUUCUUUGCUGAUUUGGGGAUUUUAUUUCAGAUCUGAAAAUUAAAAAAAUCUAAUCUUUUAAUUUUCUGUUUCGUUUCAGAUCUAAUUGUUUAGGGUUUUCGUAGGAGUUUCCCGUGACUUGGCAACUCGAUCUUGGUCCGCGCGCAACCCCGUAUCA
rnacentral:lncRNA from 1 species